AACGAACGCUGGCGGCGUGCCUAACACAUGCAAGUCGAGCGAGAAAGGGCUUCGGCCUGAGUACAGCGGCGAACGGGUGCGUAACACGUGGGUAAUGUACCUUUGGGCCUGGGAUAACCU
rnacentral:rRNA from 1 species